AGACAAUACUGAAGAACCAGCUCCAAAACGUCUACGGCCAGAUGAGGUUACUGCCUCAGAAGGACCACAGUGACUUGUGAUAAAUGAGCAACAUCAUUUUAGCAGGUCAAUAUCAAGCAACAUAAUGAGAAAUGCCUUGAUUAGCUCCACAAGUAUUUUCUUCUGUAUAGCCUGAAAAUUGUCAAGGAAAACUCUCUAAAACUCCAAUGCAGGCAGUGUGUGACAUUUUAUUAUACAUUACAGACACUUCUGAGAGCGUCAUUCUUGUUUCCUGUCUGUCUUCAAAUGUCACUGCAAGCAACUGUUAUAUUAAGAAUGAUACAUUUAGUGGGAUUUUGGGAUGUUUCACUUAAAAGUUCGUAUUUCUGUACUACACUUCAAAGAGAAAUAAUUCUGAAAGAAACCUUUCAGGACCCAAGCCAGGAUUGCUGCAGAUUUACUAAUAACCUCAUCCAGUUUUUACUCCAUAAUAAUUCUUAAUUGACUCUUCUGUAAAUCAAAUUGUGGCAGACAUAAGAUGAUUUACCCUUAAAACAUUGCACACACUUCAAAUGUCAUAAAAGUGUGGAUCUUAAAGAACAGUGCAUCCUCUGGUUUAGAUAGCGUAUUACAGUGGCGUGGAGGAAAGUCAGAAGAGUGUGGCAGCACUUACAUUAUGGUUAUCAACCCUGUUGAUAAUAUGGAAACCUUCCUGAAUUAUUGAUCUGUUACAACCCAGGAGAAAAACACUUUGUAUUUGUGGUUUCUACUUCAGUUAUUUCCAAGUGACAGCUUUCUGAAAAAUGCUGUGUAAAAGGGCAAAAUAUUCAAGUUGUCUGCCAAUAAAAUUAGAAUGCCUGCU